ACAGUACAAACUGAGCAGGCUGUGUUUUCUGCCGGCGUAUGUAUUUCAAGCCGGAAAGGAUCCAUGGAUAGCCGGGCCGUUUUGACGGCAGCAGAUGGAGCUUACAUCUGUGGGACAGUA
rnacentral:ncRNA from 25 species